rnacentral:rRNA from 1 species
ACACGUAGGAGGCAAACGUUAUCCGGAUUCACUGGGCGUAAAGCGCGUGUAGGUGGUUCUGUAAGUAGGGCGUGAAAGCUCCCGGCUCAACUGGGAGAGGCCGUACUAAACUGCAGAGCUAGAGGAUGGUAGAGGGAGGUGGAAUUCCAGGUGUAGUGGUGAAAUGCGCAGAUAUCUGGAGGAACACCAGUGGCGAAGGCGGCCUCCUGGACCAUUCCUGACACUCAGACGCGAAAGCUAGGGUAGCAAACGGAAUUAGAGACUCCGGUAGUCCUAGCCCUAAACGAUGCAGACUAGGCGUCGGCGGUUUAAUCACCGUCGGUGUCCAAGCUAACGCGAUAAGUCUGCCGCCUGAGGACUACGGCCGCAAGGCUAAA